rnacentral:rRNA from 1 species
CCCUUAGAUGUCCGGGGCCGCACGCGCGCUACACUGAAGGAAUCAGCGUGGCUUUCUCCCUGACCCGAAAGGGUUGGGAAACCCGUUGAAUCUCCUUCGUGAUAGGGAUUGGGGCUUGAAAUUGUUCCCCAUGAACGAGGAAUUCCCAGUAAGCGCGAGUCAUAAGCUCGCGUUGAUUACGUCCCUGCCCUUUGUACACACCGCCCGUCGCUACUACCGAUUGAACGGUUUAGAGAGGGCCUCGGAUUGGUCUCGGCCCGCUCUUUACCGGGCGGCGCCGUUGGUCGAGAAGACGCUCGAACUUGAUCGUUUAGAGGAAGUAAAAGUCGUAACA